rnacentral:rRNA from 1 species
GAUGAACGCUGGCGGCGUGCCUAAUACAUGCAAGUCGAGCGAACGGACGAGAAGCUUGCUUCUCUGAUGUUAGCGGCGGACGGGUGAGUAACACGUGGAUAACCUACCUAUAAGACUGGGAUAACUUCGGGAAACCGGAGCUAAUACCGGAUAAUAUUUUGAACCGCAUGGUUCAAAAGUGAAAGACGGUCUUGCUGUCACUUAUAGAUGGAUCCGCGCUGCAUUAGCUAGUUGGUAAGGUAACGGCUUACCAAGGCAACGAUGCAUAGCCGACCUGAGAGGGUGAUCGGCCACACUGGAACUGAGACACGGUCCAGACUCCUACGAGAGGCAGCAGUAGGGAAUCUUCCGCAAUGGGCGAAAGCCUGACGGAGCAACGCCGCGUGAGUGAUGAAGGUCUUCGGAUCGUAAAACUCUGUUAUUAGGGAAGAACAUAUGUGUAAGUAACUGUGCACAUCUUGACGGUACCUAAUCAGAAAGCCACGGCUAACUACGUGCCAGCAGCCGCGGUAAUACGUAGGUGGCAAGCGUUAUCCGGAAUUAUUGGGCGUAAAGCGCGCGUAGGCGGUUUUUUAAGUCUGAUGUGAAAGCCCACGGCUCAACCGUGGAGGGUCAUUGGAAACUGGAAAACUUGAGUGCAGAAGAGGAAAGUGGAAUUCCAUGUGUAGCGGUGAAAUGCGCAGAGAUAUGGAGGAACACCAGUGGCGAAGGCGACUUUCUGGUCUGUAACUGACGCUGAUGUGCGAAAGCGUGGGGAUCAAACAGGAUUAGAUACCCUGGUAGUCCACGCCGUAAACGAUGAGUGCUAAGUGUUAGGGGGUUUCCGCCCCUUAGUGCUGCAGCUAACGCAUUAAGCACUCCGCCUGGGGAGUACGACCGCAAGGUUGAAACUCAAAGGAAUUGACGGGGACCCGCACAAGCGGUGGAGCAUGUGGUUUAAUUCGAAGCAACGCGAAGAACCUUACCAAAUCUUGACAUCCUUUGACAACUCUAGAGAUAGAGCCUUCCCCUUCGGGGGACAAAGUGACAGGUGGUGCAUGGUUGUCGUCAGCUCGAGUCGUGAGAUGUUGGGUUAAGUCCCGCAACGAGCGCAACCCUUAAGCUUAGUUGCCAUCAUUAAGUUGGGCACUCUAAGUUGACUGCCGGUGACAAACCGGAGGAAGGUGGGGAUGACGUCAAAUCAUCAUGCCCCUUAUGAUUUGGGCUACACACGUGCUACAAUGGACAAUACAAAGGGCAGCGAAACCGCGAGGUCAAGCAAAUCCCAUAAAGUUGUUCUCAGUUCGGAUUGUAGUCUGCAACUCGACUACAUGAAGCUGGAAUCGCUAGUAAUCGUAGAUCAGCAUGCUACGGUGAAUACGUUCCCGGGUCU